CCCGUCUUGAAACACGGACCAAGGAGUCUAGCAUGUGCGCGAGUCAUUGGGACUCUAACUAAACCCAGAGGCGUAAUGAAAGUGAAAGGCGGAGCCUCGGUGUUCCGCCUCAAGGGAAGAUGCGCGCUCGUCUCCGUACGGGCCGCCGCAUUCCCGAGGCGUUUCGAGAAAGCCACCGUGCGAUUAUCGAGACGCACUGAGAGCGUACACGCUGGGACCCGAAAGAUGGUGAACUAUGCCUGGUCAGGUCGAAGUCAGGGGAAACCCUGAUGGAGGGCCGAAGCGAUUCUGACGUGCAAAUCGAUCGUCUGAUCUGGGUAUAGGGGCGAAAGACUAAUCGAACUAUCUAAUAG
rnacentral:rRNA from 1 species